AUAGCACAAGCUAGUAAGUCCCCUCGCAGAUUACGAGGUUGAUAGGAUGCAGAUAGAAGAAUGGCAACAUUUGCAGUCGAGCAUUACUAAUCGGACGAGGGCUUUUCCUG
rnacentral:rRNA from 1 species